rnacentral:rRNA from 1 species
CACGUAGGCACCAAGCGUUGUCCGGAUUUAUUGGGCGUAAAGAGCUCGUAGGCGGUUCGGUAAGUCGGGUGUGAAAACUUUGGGCUCAACCCAAAGCCUGCACUCGAUACUGCUGUGACUUGAGUCCGGUAGGGGAGUGGGGAAUUCCUGGUGUAGCGGUGGAAUGCGCAGAUAUCAGGAGGAACACCGAUGGCGAAGGCAGGUCUCUGGGCCGAUACUGACGCUGAGGAGCGAAAGCGUGGGGAGCGAACAGG